AUGCUCUCGCUGUCCGCCCGAUCCAUCCUCUCCGCCUUCCUCCCCAAACCCAAACCCCGCCGCCUCCUCCUCCUCAGACCCCGCCGUUCCUCCGCCUCCGCCUCCGCGCUGACGCCGCCUACCCCGCGUACCACCACCCCCGACCCCCCGGAGGACGCAGACCCCACGCCGCUCUUCCUCCGCCCGCCGACCCACCCCGUCCCGGAGGCCUCACUCGCCGCCUUCCGCCGCCGGGCCGCCGCGCUCGUCCCGCCCUCCGCGCCGCACCUCCACCGCCACCUCCGCUGGCUCCUCGCGGACGCCUCCGCCCCCGCCCCGUCCGGCGCCGACCCGGCGGCGCCCCACCUCCUCCGCGCGCCGCUCGAUGAGCUCGAGGCCCUGUGGCUCCGCCACGUCCGGGACAGGCGCCCGUUCCAGUACGUGGUCGGGAACGAGCACUGGAAGGAUCUGGUGGUCGCGGUCCGGGACGGCGUGCUCAUCCCGCGGCCCGAGACGGAGGCCGUCGUCGACAUGGUCGCGGCGGUCGAGGGGUUCCAGGACGGGUGGUGGGCGGACCUCGGGACCGGGAGCGGCGCCAUUGCCGUGGCCGUGGCCAGGAUGCUGGGGCCCGGGGGGAGGGUGUUCGCCACCGACGUCAGCGAGGUCGCUGUUGAGGUCGCGCGGCUCAACGUCCAGAGGUACGGGGUGCAGGAUAAAGUUGAGAUAAGGCGCGGCUCAUGGUUCGAACCUCUAGAAGAUGUCAAAGGAAAACUGAUGGGUGUCAUUAGUAACCCUCCAUACAUACCAACUGAUGAUCUACCUGGCCUGCAACCUGAAGUUGGUUGGCAUGAACCAAAAUUGGCACUUGAUGGAGGCAAAGAUGGCCUUGAUCAUUUGCUUCAUCUAUGUGAAGGGUUAUCUUCGGCACUGAUGCCUGGAGGUUUCUUUGUUUUUGAGACAAAUGGCAACAAGCAGUCAGAGUUUCUUGUCGACUUCAUUAGUACAAAGUGGAGCUCAUCUUUUUGCGACGUGGAGGCAGUUUUAGACUUUGCAGACAUCAAACGUUUUGUAAGAGGGUACCGCAGAUGA
rnacentral:rRNA from 1 species